AGAUGACUACAGUAAUUGCCAUUGAGGAUGUAAGACGAGAAGUGAAAAUAUUACAGGCUCUAACAGGGCAUAGGAACCUAGUGCAAUGCUACGAUUGCUAUGAGAAUGAUGAGAAUGUUUAUGUAGUGAUGGUGUUAUGUAAAGGAGGUGAAUUAUUGGAUAGAAUACUUUCUAGGGGUGGAAAAUACUCAGAAGAGGAUGCAAAGGCUGUCAUGGUCCAAAUUUUGAGUGUGGUUGCGUACUGUCAUCUCCCAGGGGUAGUUCACCGUGAUCUCAAACCUGAG